GUUUAGCCCUGAUUGAAGUGACAUCCUUUUUUUAUUUUUCUUAAAAAAAGAUAUAACGGAAAGCAGGAAAUAGC
rnacentral:sRNA from 1 species